rnacentral:rRNA from 1 species
AGAGAGAGACAUGCGCGCAUAUCAAUAAGCGGAGGAAAAGAAACUAACAAGGAUUCCCUUAGUAACGGCGAGUGAAGCGGGAAGAGCUCAAAUUUGAAAUCUUCAAGGUUUUACCUUGACGAAUUGUAGUUUAAAGAAGUGUUUUCUGCUGAAGUUUUGGUAAAAGUUCUUUGGAAUAGGACAUCAUAGAGGGUGAGAAUCCCGUAUUUGACCAUUAUUUUCAGCUUUGUGAUACACUUUCAAAGAGUCGGAUUGUUUGGGAAUGCAGUCCAAAUGGGUGGUAAAUUUCAUCUAAAGCUAAAUAUUGGCGAGAGACCGAUAGCGAACAAGUACCGUGAGGGAAAGAUGAAAAGAACUUUGAAAAGAGAGUUAAACAGUACGUGAAAUUGUCAAAAGGGAAGCGUUUGACACCAGUGUUGUUUUCUCGAAAAUCAAUUAAAAAUGGCUCGAUUUUGUAUUGCUUGAGACCUUAAAAGCUCACUGUACAUUUUUCGUGUCUUUUUUAAUGCACUUUUCGUUUAACAAGUCAACAUCAGUUUCUUUUGUUGUAAAAGGGUCAUUGGAAGGUGGCUUUCUUUUCGGAGAAAGUGUUUAUAGCCUUUGGCCUCUGCAAUCGAAGAGACUGAGGUCUGCAGCGUAGACUCUUCGGGGUUAGAUACAUUUGUGCUAAGUUAUAGCUUUUUAUAGACAACUUGUCGACUAUAAUUAGUCUUGUAGCUUACUCGCUUAUGCUAUUUUACCUACGCUUAGGAUGUUGAAGAUGUAGCACAUCAU